UGGGACUCCGCCUGCCCCCGGCCUCUGUGAUUGGUCUAGGGUUGAAGAAACACAGGUGCUGAGCCAAUCGGGACCCUUCACCAAGUUUUUGCUGAAUGGAGUUGGGCAAGAUGACCCCUUUUUGCUCUACUAGUGAAGUUCAAAAGAUGUCAGCAAAGAACUGCCUGCAAGUUUGGUUCUAGCCCCUCAGAGAAGACUGGCACUCGCAGGAGAGAGUGGAGGCCCCAUCCCGGAGACGCUAAGUGAGAGGAGGUCCUGACGGUGUGGAGUCUCCAGUCCGUCCAUCUGUCACUCAUCCCUGCCCUGUUUGGCCUAAAUUGGUUUCAGUUGGGUUUCUGUCGCUUGUGACCAAAGGAGUCUUGGCUAGUAUAGAAGUUGCUUCUAGCCACUGAGGUCGCCAGAUCUAAUCCCAAAGCUAGCACGGUCAGACGUUCUUUCGAUUUGGUAAGCGUACCCAGCGCCAUUCCAACAAAUCCCAAUUUCAGUUUAAGCUUGUUCAAGCUGGAUUUCUGAAACUUGAGUUUGACUUUGCUGGAUUCAUUUCCCCUUUCCUCAGUUUCUCUAUGGGUCAUGGCCCUUAGGAAGAGAAAACGUUUCUGCUCCUCUAGAGACAGAUGACCCAUUCAGUUCCAUGAAUAUGGUCAAGGAGAGAAAAAGAAACACCUCUCUCAGGUCAAAAGGAAAGAAGGAAGUAACAGCUCCAGGCGGGCAGGAAGAGUCUCCCUGAAGUUUCUCCUCAGUGUGGGACUUGUCCCACUCGUGCGUCUUGGCUGGUUAGUUUUGAGAGCUCAUAGAGACCUUAUAAUGUGUCCCUUUGCAGUUGCCUGCUAUUGGAGUGUGCUCACUGCCUCACAGGGCCUGGUACCCAGACACUACGUGACCAUUAUGUGUGGAAUGAAUGAGUACACAAUUAGGUACAGAAUUACUGAAGGAGAAAGGCACCAUUACCCCUCCAUACUGAGUUGUUCUCUUCCCAUAUUCCAAGAGCACUGUUUACAUGCCAGUCCUUACCCUACUGUACAUAUAUUUAUCUCCCACAAGACAACAAACAACCUCAGAGAAAAGGGCCACACCUAGUUCAUCUCCAGAUGGGGCACCUGUGGGACCUGGUGGCAAAUAGCCAGUGUUUAAAAAGUAAUUGAUUGGAUGGUAGACGAAUGAACAGAGAGCCUGAAUUAUGGAUUUUUAAAAAUGUGUUUUAUCAUUCUGAAAACUAUAACCGCUACCAGUGCUUCCAAGUGAAUGCCCUGCUGAGAACAGCUUCCAUGGCGCUGGGAGACUCCUUGAUAGGUUCAAUCUGUUUACACGCAACAAUAAAGCCGUGGACCAAAAGCUUUGCUCACCCCGCUGAGACCUUCUUUGCAGUUUUCAUUUGCGGAGCAAGUGCUUUCUCUAUAAGCCUAGUCUGGAUCAGGCCCAUUUCAAAAAGAAGACAGACUCCCAAUGGAAGGGCCCUGACGGCUGCUCAUGGCCCCUAUGGUGGGCUACCUGCAAAGGGAAGCUCUGGGGACUACUGGACGGGGGUGGCCUGAUGCGAACUGUGGCUCCACAGAGCAAGCAAGAGGCUCUGCUGCUUGGCUUUGAGAGCAGUGAGGAGGCAGAGCCUGGAAAAACUUCUCGCUGAAAUUAUGUAAAACACUUCCUCACCCUCCAUGGGAGGUUCUGUGCUUCUCGUGUCCAGAAUCACUAUUCAUUACCCCUGUGCCUGGAGUUAUCAGUUCCUUGGAAACCGUUUAAACCAGCCUUGUGUUACUUAUUCAUCUCGAGAUUGGACAGAAAGGAAUCGAGGGGGUUCUGCCCUAUCUUGCUGUUGGUGACCUUAAUUCACAGCAAAGAGCCAACUACCGGCUCUAAAACGGAUCUAAAAUAUGGGGUUUUAUUUCUUGGUGUUUCACCUGUCAGGUUCUUACUCUGAUCAGAGCAGCGGCAGGAGUCCAGAAACCAGGCUAAGGGCGCCCUCUGGUGUUCAGACAGCAGCCUGAGCCUUGUCGAUCCUGGAAGCUGGACGCAGCAGGGGCGGGAGCCCAGGAUAUAAUUUAAGGCCGCCAGGAGAGCAAGGCUUCGAUACAGCCUGAUUGUCCUGUUCUUGUCUGAGGUGGAGAGGGUCCCACCCUGCUGCCCUGGAAACUCAGCUUGGGAGCCCAGCACCACCCUGGAGAUCUGCUGGCUGUGAGGGGUUUGGUCAAACCAACCUCCUUUUAUGUUUAAAAAUAUAGAAUGUCGCUGUCCUCCACCCGUUGGGGAGAACAGUGCCCCACUGUCCCACACUCAGUGUGUCCCUCAUAUCCUAACUGAGACGAGGCUGAAGAGAAUUUGUAUAGAGUGUGCCACUCUACUGGGUGUAAGAUGGUUAAACACACAAACACUGCGUCAGGGGUGGGGAGGGUUCGGGGAGAGAAGAGCGAGUCCACAUGGAGGCGGCCCCUGUUCUCUGGCCUCCGUGUGUCUGCGUGAGGGGGAAUCCACUGCACAGCCUGACUUCCUCCCACCCGGAGAUGAUUCUGUCCAUCCAAAGGUAUCUACAAUACUUCACCUCAGAGCGGCCCAGCGAGCAACAACCCAGCACAUGGGCUGGGCCACAGGGCGUGGGUGCUCCCCGGGGAACUGCCCACCUCAGGAUGAACCCAGGCAUCUAGACGAUGGGCAUCUCCAUGGGUCUCACCAGAAAAUGGAUCCUGCUCCCUCCAAAGUUUCUGAAAAUUGUGACUUCAGAGCUCUGAGGGUCCAAGGAAUGAGGAAGUAGCCACAAUAAGUAACUUACACUGAACUUCCAACUCAGUUGUAGAAUGGAACCCAGAGCAGGUUUUUAUUUAGAGAAGUAAGCAAAUGGAAGGGUUUUUCCACCUUGUGGCAUGGAGCAAUUCACAUCUGUUAUAUGAAUUUACUGAUUUCUGCUUCUCCCGCUUCAUUCCGCAAAGGCUUUGAGGAUGUAUCCUGUUACCAUCUCCGUUCUUCAGAUAAUGUUCCCAAUGUCACACAGCUCGUGAGUGGCAGAGCCCAGACGCAAGCUGCACUAAGAUGCCAAAGCAUGGCUCCUGACCUCCACGCUGCGCAGGCCCCAGGCUGCUCGUGAGGCAGCUGAGUUCUAGCACAGAGUUCAUCCCCGUGACCUCAUUGCACCACCCUGCAGAGUUAAUACAAUUGCACUCCUCACCUCUGCACCCCUCGUAUGUGCGUCUAGAAAAGCAUGGUUGCAGGGGGUCUGUCUCCCUCUGGAAAUACUGUUCUCCUUCUCCCCCUAAGCUUAGUCAGCACUGCAGUGGGACUCAGGGGGUGUUCAAUAAAUCCUGGCUGAGCUAAUUUUCCAGAUGAAGAUGCUCAAGGCUCAGGAAGGUCAGGUGGAUUGCCUGGACUGCACACUGCUGGGUGCCCUAAUGUGAGCUCAGCCAGGUCUCUGAUUCCAUAUAACACGCUCUUUCCUCCUCCCUACCUCCCUACCACCCUACCAGUUUUCUGUGUAGACCUCCCCGUGGAAGAAAUAACUCAAUUUGAACAAUUCUUGUCUCAGAGGCAUAGAGAAGCGGCCAUGAUAAUUUUUUAAAUUCUCAAGAACUCUCUGCUUACAAAAGCGUCUUUAAUCAUCUGUCACUGGUCUAAUGACAGGCACCUGCAACUCUAUGUAAAAAUUCCUUUCCCUCUAAUAUCCUUCCCCAUAAAAAUGCAAAUAUGUACGCUAAGGGGAAGAGUAACACACUGAGCUUUUCCAAGUUAGUCAUACUGUGGUGUCAGUAAGUUUGCCCACCCUUCCCAGCAGGAAACUUCGCUGACUUCUGGUUUUUAACAGACUGGAGGAGCGAGCGAAGGGUCCUGCGCCAGGGCACAGAGUGGACACAGCAGUCCAUGUCAUGGGCCCUGAGCAGGGCACGGGCAGGAGGGGCUCAUCAGAAGAAGGCACACCUGGAAGAAAGAGAGGCGGGUUUGGCUUGAGGAGUAGCCACCAAAGCAAGGCUGGAGAGGACUCCAGAAGAGCCGAGUCUCCAGGAACAAGACCCCAUCGUGGCUUAAAAGACAUUGGUAGAUUGAUAAAAUCCCUACCUUCAGCUACCUGAAGUAUCCAGGGUUUCAAAAGGCAAAUAAUUUAAAAUAGAUACCUAGACAAUUAUAACUGUCCACUUCACUCUGGUCUCUGCUUCGCUUACAAAUGUAGGCAUAUUGGUGCAUUGUACCGGAAGUGCUCCAAGACCCUGUCUGUUUCUCUAGCCCCUAUGCUCCGCAUCCUCUGCCUUCCUGGUAUCACA
rnacentral:lncRNA from 1 species